rnacentral:rRNA from 1 species
GACGAACGCUGGCGGCGUGCUUAACACAUGCAAGUCCAACGGAAAGGCCCUGCUUUUGUGGGGUGCUCCAGUGGCCAACGGGUGAGUAACACGUGAGUAACCUGCCCUUGACUUUGGGAUAACUUCCGGAAACUGGGGCUAAUACCGGAUAGGAGCUCCUGCUGCAUGGUGGGGGUUGGAAAGUUUCGGCGGUUGGGGAUGGACUCGCGGCUUAUCAGCUUGUUGGUGGGGUAGUGGCUUACCAAGGCUUUGACGGGUAGCCGGCCUGAGAGGGUGACCGGCCACAUUGGGACUGAGAUACGGCCCAGACUCCUACGGGAGGCAGCAGUGGGGAAUAUUGCACAAUGGGCGGAAGCCUGAUGCAGCAACGCCGCGUGCGGGAUGACGGCCUUCGGGUUGUAAACCGCUUUCGCCUGUGACGAAGCGUGAGUGACGGUAAUGGGUAAAGAAGCACCGGCUAACUACGUGCCAGCAGCCGCGGUGAUACGUAGGGUGCGAGCGUUGUCCGGAUUUAUUGGGCGUAAAGGGCUCGUAGGUGGUUGAUCGCGUCGGAAGUGUAAUCUUGGGGCUUAACCCUGAGCGUGCUUUCGAUACGGGUUGACUUGAGGAAGGUAGGGGAGAAUGGAAUUCCUGGUGGAGCGGUGGAAUGCGCAGAUAUCAGGAGGAACACCAGUGGCGAAGGCGGUUCUCUGGGCCUUUCCUGACGCUGAGGAGCGAAAGCGUGGGGAGCGAACAGGCUUAGAUACCCUGGUAGUCCACGCUGUAAACGGUGGGUACUAGGUGUGGGGUCCAUUCCACGGGUUCCGUGCCGUAGCUAACGCUUUAAGUACCCCGCCUGGGGAGUACGGCCGCAAGGCUAAAACUCAAAGGAAUUGACGGGGCCCCGCACAAGCGGCGGAGCAUGCGGAUUAAUUCGAUGCAACGCGUAGAACCUUACCUGGGUUUGACAUGGAUCGGGAGUGCUCAGAGAUGGGUGUGCCUCUUUUGGGGUCGGUUCACAGGUGGUGCAUGGCUGUCGUCAGCUCGUGUCGUGAGAUGUUGGGUUAAGUCCCGCAACGAGCGCAACCCUUGUUCACUGUUGCCAGCACGUUAUGGUGGGGACUCAGUGGAGACCGCCGGGGUCAACUCGGAGGAAGGUGGGGAUGACGUCAAGUCAUCAUGCCCCUUAUGUCCAGGGCUUCACGCAUGCUACAAUGGCUGGUACAGAGAGUGGCGAGCCUGUGAGGGUGAGCGAAUCUCGGAAAGCCGGUCUCAGUUCGGAUUGGGGUCUGCAACUCGACCUCAUGAAGUCGGAGUCGCUAGUAAUCGCAGAUCAGCAACGCUGCGGUGAAUACGUUCCCGGGGCU